rnacentral:rRNA from 1 species
ACGCUGGCGGCGUGCCUAACACAUGCAAGUCGAACGAGGUCCAGUCCUUCGGGAGAAGACCUAGUGGCGAACGGGUGAGUAACACGUGAAGAACCUGCCCCGAAGACCGGGAUAACCCUCCGAAAGGAGAGCUAAUACCGGAUACCCCCACCGAACCGCAUGGUUUGGUGAGGAAAUGGAUUCCGCUUCGGGAGGGCUUCGCGGCCUAUCAGCUAGUUGGUGGGGUAACGGCCCACCAAGGCAUCGACGGGUAGCUGGUCUGAGAGGACGAUCAGCCACACUGGGACUGAGACACGGCCCAGACUCCUACGGGAGGCAGCAGUGGGGAAUCUUGCGCAAUGGGCGAAAGCCUGACGCAGCAACGCCGCGUGGGGGAUGAAGGCUCUCGGGUUGUAAACCCCUUUCAGCAGGGACGAAUCAAGACGGUACCUGCAGAAGAAGCCCCGGCUAACUACGUG